rnacentral:lncRNA from 1 species
CUCAGAGAUAUGAAAACUUACACAGACUGCCUUCAAACCCAGGGUAUCUAACAGAUGUUCCCUUUCCAGUUCGUCUCUUGAUCUGAAAUGCCUGCCUGAUUCCAACUUGGAUACCACUCUUUCUUGCCCUUCCUUUUUCAAAGCAGUUUGGACAUGUGUGCAAGUGAGCCCAGAACAGCUCCACCCAUAUUCUUUACCAAACUGUAAAUAAAAGAAGAACUAAUGAAGUAGAUUGGCAUAUAGAUUGCAUCAAGAGCCCGAAUCCCCAGUUUCUGGAUUCCCCAUUCAACUCUGGCUGUCAUCUACAUUGACAGAGUCAUUCUAAGCAGAGGCCCAGAGAAACCUGCAUUGUGGGACAACAGGGUACAUAUAUCAUAUUCCUUUUCCUCAUACUCCACCCUUUCUGAAUCCACAAGAAUGUGUUAUUGAAUACAGAGAAAACAAUUUAAGAAAGGAAAAGGAAUGACCUGCCUAAAAUGAGGAAAAAGCAGAGUCGAGGUCUAGGAUUGUGGCUCAACAAGAUGAUUCAGUUACUUUCUGGUUAUAAGCAGAUACCUGAAAAUUGUGAAAUUGAUAUAAACCCAGAUCUUCAAAGCAACUGAUGACCAAGGGGACUGUGAUAUAAUAGCCACAUAUUCUUUACCAGUGUUAGGUUUUAGUUAAUAAACAUUACUAUGGAG